rnacentral:rRNA from 1 species
UACGGGAGGCAGCAGUGGGGAAUAUUGCACAAUGGGCGAAAGCCUGAUGCAGCUAUGCCGCGUGUAUGAAGAAGGCCUUAGGGUUGUAAAGUACUUUCAUCGGGGAGGAAAAAACAAAACUAAUAAUUUUAUUUCUUGACGUUACCCGAAAAAGAAGCACCGGCUAACUCCGUGCCAGCAGCCGCGGUAAUACGGAGGGUGCUAGCGUUAAUCAGAAUUACUGGGCGUAAAGAGCACGUAGGUGGUUUUUUUAAGUCAGAUGUGAAAUCCCUGGGCUUAACCUAGGAACUACAUUUUGAAACUGAAAUACUAGAGUAUCGUAGAGGGAGGUAGAAUUCUAGGUGUAGCGGUGAAAUGCGUAGAUAUCUGGAGGAAUACCUGUGGCGAAAGCGGCCUCCUAAACGAAUACUGACACUGAGGGUGCGAAAGCGUGGGGAGCAAACAGGGAUUAGAUACC